rnacentral:rRNA from 1 species
CCUACGGGAGGCAGCAGUGGGGGAUAUUGCACAAUGGAGGAAACUCUGAUGCAGCGACGCCGCGUGAGGGAAGACGGUCUUCGGAUUGUAAACCUCUGUCUUUGGGGAAGAACAUGACGGUACCCACAGAGGAAGCUCCGGCUAACUACGUGCCAGCAGCCGCGGUAAUACGUAGGGAGCGAGCGUUGUCCGGAAUUACUGGGUGUAAAGGGAGCGUAGGCGGGCGAGAAAGUUGAAUGUUAAAUCUACCGGCUUAACUGGUAGCUGCGUUCAAAACUUCUUGUCUUGAGUACAGUAGAGGUGGGCGGAAUUCGUGGUGUAGCGGUGGAAUGCGUAGAUAUUAGGAGGAACACCAGUGGCGAAGGCGGUCUGCUGGACAGCAACUGACGCGGAGGCGCGAAAGCGUGGGGAGCAAACAGGAUUAGAUACCCCGGUAGUC